ensembl:lncRNA
CCAAAGUGCAGGACCCAGCACUUGGUCUUGUUAAACUUCAUACAAUUGCCCUCAGCCAUCAAUCAUCCUGUCCAGAUCCCUCUGUAGGGCCUUCCUACCUUCAGGCAGAUCGACACUUCACCCCCAGCGUGGUUUCAUCUGCAAACUUACUCAGGAUGCACUCAGUCACUUGGAAGGCCUUGGUUCUAGGGGUGCAACAUGACAGCAGGUGGAACACAAAGGGAUGCCCCGUGGAAACGCAGCAACAGCUCUGUUAAACAUAAGGAAUAGUGGUGGGACCUCAGCCUUUGUCCCCAACUGAUGGGAAUGCUCCUCUAGCAGCGUGGGACCAGAUGCAUCUGCUUCAUCUGACUUGAGAAGGCUGGGAUUUCACCUUCACAACCGUCUGUAUGCACGCUGCUUGAGUUUCACUGCGACCCUUGAAUUGGAGUGCAGGAAACAAGACACACACGACGUGUGAAACUGGAGCGCUUCUGUACCCGGUGACCAGAUUGAGAUAGCACAAGAAUCCUGAAAGCCUCUCCAACCCAUUGGAGGAAUUGUGAAAUCAGUAUCACCUUCACCACUGAAUUCUGUUGCUUAGUUUGGUUGUUGGCUCUCACUUCCCUACGCCUUCUGCACCCGAGAGGAAAAAAGCUGUCAGUCUGGGAUGCAGCAGCGACACCAGAUUCACUAAUUUGAAAAGACAGCGCACGCUGAAAGCCAAUGCUCUGGAAUGGCACCAGCUCGAAGUCAAUUUUUGUUUUCCAGUGGAACUAACAAAUAGAGUCCUUGGCUUCCCCAAAACGCACAAAGCAUUUUAUUGGGAACCUUCUCUACUUUUUUUCUCUGCUUCCCUGCUCUUACUUAAAAGACCGAAAAUCCUUGAAAGUAUUUCUCCUUUUUUCUGUUUCCAUAGGAAGUCUGGGGGGUAGGCGUGGGCCAAGGAGAUGGGCAGCAGUUUCUACAUAGGGCUUUGUGCUGAUACCUUGAGAACUGCAGUCCGUGGGGUCCAAAAUGCAGCUGUGGCUGUGGCUGGCAGGCUGCUUGCUUGCUGGGUUGUUGCUUCGGUGGGCCAUGCCUUUCCCCAGAGCCAUCACGGGGGCUUUUCAAGCUCCAGUGAAGCUCCCAGCAAGGACUGGUGAGCCUCCUUCCAUUCUUUGUGUGUAAAUGUGGAGAUCAUGACUCCUCCAUAGUGUGACAGUUGGAAUAAUUGCAAACAAGUCUGUUUUAGCUCCGCGUUACCACUGCCCUGCUUCUAGACCAAACUUUUACCUUACUGUAUGUGUUUGUCACUGUUUCUGCUGUGUGCCAACCUGUGGUGCAACCUGUGCAGAGAAGUGGGCAUGGCAACCACAACAGGAAUCAUUUCAAGGGGUGCCCAACCCAUGGGUGCACAGGAUAAAAUGUAGGGAAUGAGCACGGUGAGUGAUGCCGUGCUGAGACUGUGGUAGUGUCCUGCUCCAGAGGGAGGACCUGGGCUCUGCAUGAGAGCACAGAUGAAUAUUCCUGACUUCCAAUAGUGUUUUGAAUCCAGCAUCCUUUGUUAUACGUUAAGUCUCUGUUGCCAAACUAGGAGCUGCCUCAGAAGCCUGCUUUUUUUGCUUGUCUGUUUUGUUUCAAUCUUUUUGUUGUUGGUUUUGGGGUUUUUUAGGGUCUUUUUGGAGAAAGACUUAAGGGUGCCUGCACAUCACGUGGGAAUAAGACCUGGGAUUUGAUGCAUCUUCCCGAGUUGAAACUGCCAACGUCAAUCACACAUCUGCUUCGUGUGGCUUCUACAAAUCUCUGUUCCCCCUGCAGAUCAGUAAUGCAUUUGUGUUGGAUUAAUUUUACCUUGACGGAGCAACAGACUUCUGAAGCAUUUCCUUCUUUGCUCAAACCCUUGGGACAUCGUUUUUGCCUUUCUGACUUUGUUACUGAAAGUUUAUCUUUAUGCUCCAGCCAGCACACAUCUGACUGCUUCAUGCUGUGCUCUUCAGGGGUAAAACAUGCCCAAAAAACGUACCAUAGGGGCUCCAACAACGUUGGUAGUGCUGUCAGGUUCACUUCUGUCACCUCGCUGCCUUCGCCCACGGGAACGCUGCAGUAAGCAGCAGAAAUGAUCGAUUAAUACACAGUAUGGAAAAUAGGUGGCUGUUAACAUGUCAUCUAAAUUUAACUCCAAGGGCCAUGUUUACUUCUGAUAUGCUGCUUGGCUGGUGUCAGCUAUGCCGUUUGGUUGAUGUCAGUAGCCUUGUGUAAAUUCGGAAUCAAUUCUUCUGGUUCCAGACCCAUUUUAGAUUUAUCUGAAUUCAGAGUGCUUUUGAGUAUCCACACAUGUAACAAAUUAAAUGACAGGCAAUGUGCUCUUUUGUUGGCCAGCGGGUGGCUGUUACUGCUAAUAGUGAAGAGAGCUGAGAUGGAAACUGGCUUUGAGGUUGGAUGGGAAAUCUCAUUUUCUGUUGGGGUGAACUGCUGUGGGCUGUCUGCUCCUUUUACAUGGCUGUGUCCUCUCCUUUUACAGCGUGUACUUGCAUGGAUAUGAUGGAAAGCAGAGGUGAGAGAUGCUUAAAUCACAGCUGCAGAGCACCCAAGGCACUUACAGGUGUAGCCAAGGUGGUGGUCUUUGGUUUUGAGCACUGUGAUAUGAAAGCUUGCUGUGCUCUGUAUUGAAUCAGCUUGUGCUUACAUGUCCUUGGACCAAGCAGUUGUGUGAAUACAACCAAACAUCAGGUACAUGACUGGGACUAAACAUGAGUAAAUGGUGCUGUGAUUCUUCGACCUUCUGAAACCUCACAAACUCGCAUCACCUAUUCUGCUGCCUCUGUGGAUGCCACUGCUGUCUGUCACUAUGCAGUAAUAUUGGCUUUAGGUGUAGUCAUACUGCAGCCGGAAAUGUUGCAUCUGGCCAAUAGGAACCAACCAAGUGUGCUGCAGGUUCGUUUAUGUUGGAUGGUAAUUCAACCUAUCCAGGAUGUGUAGAGUUGGCAUCCAGUAGGAGCGGGUUAAUCCUCAGUCCUUGCUCUUCGCAGAAUCCUUAUGACAUAAUUCAGUUGCUGGACCAUGGGGAGAGAAGCAAAUGGACAAUAUGAAAUCUGUAGGUAAGACAUUCUUGGUGAAAUCUGUUGUUGUACACUGGUGCAGAUUAUUUCAUCCCAUUCCCUACAUACUCCUCUACUAGUAACUAGCAAGCUUUCAAAUCUCCAACUCUGUCAUGCCUCUAAGUAUUGUGCUGCAAAUAGAAUCAGUUUUCCAAAUCAGUGCCCCAAGCUGUAACCCCUUCUUUGUCAGCCCAGUUUCCUUGUCACUUCUGGAACAGGAGCUCUCAGUACUUCUAAUUCAGUCUCACUGGAUCUUGGAAGAAGCAAGCAUUAACAUUCAGAGAGCUGCUGCGGUGGCAUGGGAAGAAUAACAUGACCUCUUGCCUUCUGCAGAGCCCCGAAACGAGAGGAUUCUUCAAGGGUCAGCAAAACCAGUCCCAACAUGGAAGAGCUCUGGAAAUUAAUUCAUCCCUGUGUCUGAGCCGUCUGAUAGCGGUCCUUUCGCUGCGUAACCUGUUCUGUGCUUUCAGUCUUUCUAGGUGUAACACUGCUGUGACCUGAUUGCAAACGAGCAGCAUUUAUGGCAGUGCUGCUGGAGUCUCAACAGAAGCGUGGGACAACCUCUGCCUUAAAGGCCGUGUUCAGGCAACCUGAGUUCUUCCUCAUCUUUUCCAAGUGACAACUUGGAAGAGCCUUGAAAAAUCAGGUGGGGCUUAAAGGAAGCACCAGGCGGGGCUGCCUAGCAUGGGCUAAUAGGAAAUAGCAUUAGCCCUUGGCUUUUAGUGAUUUUUACUUGCAUGCAAGUAUGAGGGAGAGGGAAGGUGAAGGAAGAAGUUUAAGACUUCUGGGAGAGUGUUCAUUCAAUUACAGCUGUGGAUUUCAAAUCUGAUUGGACACUGGGCAAUUGGCAUGCUUUCUGCCAUGCCUCAGCAUGCAGCAUCUUUCGAUUUGUUUAUCUAUUUGUUUUUUUCUUAUUUAUAUAUAUUUUUUUCUGCAAAGCUCCGUUGUUGGAGGUCAUAUUUAUGGGUUGUGCUAACUUCCAGCCCUGACUUCCACUAUUUGUAUGAUAAAGCUCAGUCUUUUUCAGUUGUGUGGUGCUACUUCAGUUGCAAAGGUAGUGGCUUUUGGCCUUCUGCUGCAGCUCCUGGAAUAAACGUAGCUACUUUUAUCCUCUAUUUCCCUUCCAUGCAACUUUCCAAGCACUAAUUUCUUUCUGGGGAGGUGACUUUUCUUUUUUGCACCUUCUUCUUAACCUCCUGACCUGCCUCACAAACGCGGGUGCUGUGCAGCUGUGAAAAUGAAACGGAGCAGAGGUCCAGAAGAACUGAGCUUUUCCUUCUGUUACAACCGUGUGCUCAAAGCUACCCAAGAAAGAAGACUGCGCGACUUGGAUGAAAAGCCUUGGCAAGGGGCCUUGAAGAGGCCACUACAGAGAGAACCUGAAAGCUACCGUUCUGAAAGGUACUCAGAGCUCAGAAGAGAGCCAGCGUGUGAAACGCCCAUCUUGGGCCUUUCUGUGGCUUUUUGUGCUCAUCCCAGACUCAUCCAGGUGAACUGGAGAACCUGGCUGACCUCAGGAGCUGUGGAGGGCAGGAGAUGCAGGUGGAGGUGCGAUAAUGAGACUUGCCCUAUUGUCACAUCCUUCUCAUCAGCAGCAGGUGGCUUGUGCUCAUGGGGCCAUUGAAUGAGGAUCAGGUGUUAACAGAGCAAAGGUGGAGAUGUGGCUGUAAAUAUGAAGGACUUUUCUUUUUUUCCUUCAUCCGAAGUCGUGCAGUGCGCGUGAAGCGUUUUGAUGCAUAUAGAGGCUGAAAGCUGGAUCAGAUGCAGCAUCGUGCUGCAGAGUUAGUUAAGAUGCUUUGACCACUUGCCUUCUAUGCAACAAAAUGCAAGUUUGACUUGAACCUGUGUUAGGAUGGAAUAUCAGAUCUGAAGGAGACCAACAGUGUCCUCUAGCCCAAUUAAUACAGUAUUAGUAAAGCUUAGUUAUCUUGUAGGCAUUGUCUGCUCCUGUUCACUGCAACAGCAUUGUCUCCAGAAAGCAGCCGUUAAUGAGGGGGAAAGAGCAGAAGGAGGUGUUUUUUCAUCAUACCGGUUCACCUUGACUUGGUUUUGCUUUGUGAGUUUAGGUGGAAACAGCUGUUAACCAUUAAUUUUAUAUUUAGUGUUUGUGCACUCCAUUUGUUUGUGCAGCCAGUUGCAGUUUAGCUCAGGUUUUAUUUUACUUCUUGCUGAUGUGUUCAUUGAAGCUCAAGUCUGACCUUUAGAAAUUUUAUUAGGUUGUCAUGUCACUGCAGAAACAGCCAUCGGAGGAGGAGGCCUUUGGAGGAAGUGCUGAGAUCAGUCCCAAGCACUUGACCAAGGCACUGGCCAAGGACGGUGUCAGCAGAAGGUAAUAUUUUAUGAAAAUACUUCUUAUGACCUCUGUAAUGGCCAUUAUAUUUCGUGGCAGAAUUGCCACUAAAAUGACUUUUUAAGUCCGAGAGCCAACAUACCUCCCCAGUGAUGUAUUUGGAUAUAAAUAGACUCAAUGAACUCUUAAAUGAAUAAGGCUGAUGAUCCUUAUAGGUGCUUUGCAGUUCCCCUGGAUGUGAGGUGCUCGAGGGCAUCGAUUCACAUUUGGUUCCUUUUUGAUUUACAGGGGCAAGAGGUUUCUGUUCUAGUUUCAUUUUUAUUGUAACAGUUGAUAUUAUGCCCUUUCCAAGAUUGCAAAAUGACUGGCAGUAGACAAAACUGCAGGGAAGCAUCUGUGUCUUAGAGUUUGUUGUGGGUAUUAAAGAUGUUCAAUCCAACAAACUUGAGCCCAGCAACUUGAUUCAUUAAGGUAGGGUUCUUUUCUUGGGUGUCUUCAGGAAGAAGCGGGUUAGGAGCCAAUAAAAGGCAGCAAAAACGUGUGGCUAGUGUUCAGUCUUCUUAAAAUCCCCCUGUAACUGAUGUGUUAGUGCCACCAGCAGUCAACCUGUAAGGGGUAUUUCAAAGACUAGUUUCUGUUUGCCCAUGGUUUUACCCUAUGUUUCUUUACAUUAAACUGCUGAGACGUGCCCAGACUUAAGUGCCUUGCCUGUGGAUUAUAAUCUGGUCUACCUACAAGGCAGUAGGUGCACUUGGUACAUUGUUAUGGAGAGCACUGAGGGUUUUUGGGAAGGAAAAGCUAGUGAAUUGGCAUUUAGUAAAGCCAGCACUUGGUUAAAUUUAUGACUCAACAAAAUGAAAUUGCUCUGGUUUUACACUGAGGUAAUAGUGCAGAUUGGACCAUUAUCAGCUCUUCCUUAUGGACGUGCUGCUUGGGGAAAAUUACAUAGGUGCACUUGCAUGAUAGAGCUGGCAGACAUUAAGUUGGAACUGAAGCAGCUCCAAUUCAGCCUGCAGGUAGAAAUGAUUAUUUACCACUUAUUGCUCUUUCAAACGAAAAAGCAACUGCAAGGUUUUUUUGCAGUGGUCUUUUUAAACUCAUCAGCGGGCUUAAGGAAACAAGAAGCUUUUGUUUUGUUUUGUUUUGUUUUAUUUCCCCCACAACGUGUUCCUCUGUGGUGGAACUCAUUGCCACGGGGUGUGUUGGAGGACAAAGUUACCAGUGAGUUCAGAGGAAAAAUAAGGGAUAUUCACAAAGAACACCAGAAGAUCAAAACACAGGUUCUUCUGGCUUGGAAAAUCUACAAGUUGAUGGUUCUGCAGAAAGUGGGAAGAAGAAAGGAAGGAUCAUUAGCUUGCAAUUGGACAAUUGGUCGCUGGACAAGACCAGUCUCUUUUCAGUGGUGUGAAGUGACAGGACAAGGAGCAGUGGCCAAAAGCUGGAACAUACGAAGUUACAAAUAUGUGGAAGAACUUCUUUACAGUGAGAAUGACAGCCCAGCCCUUCCUCUGCUUUGCUGCCGUGAGCCAUAAGAGAAGCAUUUAAUGAAAAAAUAGAAGAUUCAGAAUGAGCAAAACUCAGGUUUGCAUAAUGCUACUCUUUUCAGGUAAGAGGAAAGUUAAAAGGAAAUAACUUCUUUUUUUUCUUUGUAACGUUAUCUGAAUGAGAUUUCUUGGUUUUGUUAAAGUCAGUGUUUAGUUUCAGCUGCAUGAAAUGUGGUGGUACCAUGGAACUGAAAUGAUCUCAUUUGAGGAAUAGAGGUGACUCAUCUGAAAUCUUUCUGCAAAACUUUCAGUGCAAACUUUUUUUUUUUCUUUUUUUUUCUUUUUUUUAAAAUAUCCUUGAGCUUUGAGUGAGCUGGGAGGUGAUAAAAGGGGGGUGGGUUUCUUUUUUGUGGUUUGGAGGGUUCCUUGAGAAGGCACGGUGACUGAUAACUUUCCAAAUGAUAGUCUUCCCUCAACCUGCAUAUUGUAGUAGAAUCAGAAGAUGAGCAGAACUGUGAGACGCCCUCAUAAAAAAUGUGAGCUGAAACGGAGAUGGGAUUCAUUUAUUCUGGUGCAAAUCACGAGAUGAAUCUCUCAGGAUCCAGAGUUCCAGCCCUUAUUCCCUUGUACAGCCACCAACUUUCCACUGUUGCUGACCAAAUUAUUUCUUUUUAUGCUUGACAGUGUUGUUAACAGAGAAUCUGUGUCCUUGGAAGCCAACAGCGAAAAGGUUGCUUUGUAGAAUUUCUUGUUGAUAUUGUUCUGUGCUUGCCUCUUUGCCCACGCAAUUCAAUUGUCUGUUAAGGAAACAAGUAGGUUCUGGAAGUAUGAAAUGGUUCCUUUCAUAAUAACUUUAAUGUUUCAUAAUUAGAAAUGGAAGGGGUAUGCCUGUUUUAAAGUGACUUUCCUGCAAAAGGUUUACAUUAAAAAUUAAGGUGUUUCACUACGCCAAUUUCUUGCUCUUUCUGUCCCUGUCUAAUAUAGUCUGAAUGGGGAGAUUAAAGCAUUGGGAUCAUCAGAAUUGCCUUCAUUUAUUCAGCUUCUAUGAGGGCUGAUUUAACUUAAUAACUCUCGUGUAGCCAACUUGGAUAACACGAUAAAUAUGUGCUUUACUGAACCACUGUUAUUUCAGAUCAUUUAUUUUCAUUAACCCAUCACUCACUUUUGUUUCACCUCCCACCAAUGUUGCCCUGAAAAUGAAUUCCCAUUUUUUAGAUUGCCUGCUGCUAUUGGAAUCAUCAGCAAAUCCGCUGUUACACCAGGUGAAUUUUGCAGAUGAUCUGGAAGCGAACAUACCUCGAACUGAGUUGUUUUGAAGCUCUUGGGUGCUUUCAGAUUCUCCUAUAAUCAUUGGGAAGUGAAGUUUACAAUCUGUAAGGAGCCGAAGCAGUACCAUGUGAUUUGGCUAACAGUACAGAGGAAUUCAAAAAUACUUGUUUGCUGAGGACUUCUGGUUGAGUUGAAUUUACAACCCCUUAAAAGAGAUGCCUGUCUUGAGGACAAGAAUAGCAGGGUAUUUUCGGAAGCCUGAGUAUAAUUAAAGCAUUUCAGAUUGGAUGCUCAAGCAUGGAAGCCCCUGAAGUCUUCUGUUUCUGGGAUCUUCUGACAGAAGUUCUCCUGAAACUGGAAGAUUAGCCAAGCUUUUAAGGCCCAACCAACCAGCACAAAGCAACAGUUGAAGAAGUAGAAAAGGUGCACUUUGGAAACAUCAUUAAUGGCACGGGAAGGCUUGUGGGCCGGUGUAUGAGGCCAGGAGGAGAUGGCACAAAGGGAGAUCCCAUGAGCAGCUGAGAGAAUUCGGACAGAUGUGUGAAGCUGAGGUGGGUGCGUUCCUCCCUGACCCAUGCUGUAUCCCUUAAGCCAUCUCAACUGCUCCUUAGAAGCAGUGAUCAUUAAACAUUUGCCAAGUUGAUUUUGCUCUGCAUCUCUGAAUGUGAAGGAGCUGAACAGCAAGAUCAUCAAAGCAAUUGUAACGUUUAUGGCCUCUCAAUUCUCCAGGAGUAUAUGGAGGUACAGACACAGUGCUAUUACCUUGGGGAAACCAUUAAAGGUUGCUUCGUGCUAUGCUAAGGACUUUUAUUCAUCAAGAGUAAUUACCUCUAUCUUGAUAAGAAGUGAGAAGAUGACAGUAAGAACUACUGCGUCACCAAUCUCCAAGUAAUGCUCGUAGAGAGGUGAUGGUGGCAGCAGCAUCACUACCUCAGCUGGAAUGAGAGCUCCAGAAUUAUUGUGGGCAUAUCCCAAGGUUUCAGCUAGCAAGAACCCUGGUGGUUCUACCUGGCAUUGUCUACUCCAUUGGACUCCCAGAAGCUGCUCUGCCAUCUGUCCGUACCCUGAAUAUCAUCAGCCUGUUAUAAGCACAAGUCAGAGCGACUACAAAGAAGAAACGAAGGAAGAAAUGCAUCUGGGCUUGUAUCCAAUUGGAUUACUGUCAACCUCAUCCAGCUGAGAAGGGAAAAGACAGAUGUACUGAUGGUCACCGAAAUGAGAUGGAACAAAAGACAACAACCUGAGCAGAGACGAAAAGCAGUCAAGACCAAAGGUUUCUUCGACUCCAAACCACAGCCACGUCUCCAUCAUACAGACCAUCCUUUGCAACUUCAGCUUGUGUCAAACAUCCCCUUUGGCAAAACAGCUCUUGCAAUGGAGCUAUCUCCACGUGUCUGCCUUCCACCACCCACGAGACACUGACCUCCAUCGGUCCCCAGCCCUGGUAAGCCACACAAUGAGAGGUUUGGUGGGUUUGGAUUUGCAAGGAGCAGUUGGGGCAGUGUGAAGGCAAAGCCCAAAUGUUGGCCAAGCUCAUCCUCACUCAUGGUUUAACACAGACACAGACGUGAACAAAUUCGAAGUGGCAGUUGUGGUAGAUUUAAGGCCAUUGCAGCCCCGAUGAUCUGAUGGUUUAUACUCGUGCCACAAAAGGUUGUUUUUAUUGUUGUUUUAAUCACUAGCAAAAAAAUAAUUCCAAUCUUUUUUUUUCCCUCCCAUGAAGCAAUGAAGUGACAAAGCAGCAAAAUAAAUAAUUGUAUCAUCGUCUACACAGAGCAAGCAAAAUUGGGUUUGCAAAAUAAAAUAAAGGAAUCAAUCACUUUCCAUACACAAAGACUUUUUUUAAGUAAUUCUUGAAGCAGGAGAAGUUUUAGGAUCAGAGAAGUGGCUGUAAUCAAAAUGCUGGAGGAAGAUGGGAUUCGUUCAGAAAACUAAGUGCCUCAUUAAAAAUCAAUCUCCUUUCUGCACAUUCAAAUAGUGUAUUGAUUAUCAUACUUUACCAGAUCUCUUUAUAGUCACAUUCGCUUGAGAGAGGCAAAAAAAAAAAACAUGUUGUGUUGCAUUUACUACAGUAUUUAUCUAUCUAUAGCUGCAAGAUAGCACCAAGGUGGUCUGCAAAAGGAAGUUGGGUAUCCACCAGGACAGCUGUGUGGGUUGGGCCAGACCUGCAAGGAGUUUAUCUGCGUUGCUCCAUUCCUAAUUGCCAUCCCGACCCUUUGGGGUGAGUUCGCAUCCACCCCACACUGCUGAGAUUGCUCUGCUUCAGCAUCAGCGCUGCUUUCCCAGGAAGGUCAGAGAUCUCUGUGCCUGCAGAGCACGGUGCUGGGGAUUUGCAAGUGAAAACAGCAAAACGAGCAAUUGAAGGGGGAAAAUGGUUAUUAUUCAAAUUCCAUUUCCUGAUUACCAGCAUGCUAUCUCCUGAUUUAGAAUCAGGCAGUCCCUGGAGUCUCCCUGCUCAUCAAUUAUUUUUUCCCCUACCUACCAAAGCCAACCUAGUGGGUACAAGAGAGGCAUCAGGGCUCACCAGCAGUGUUGUGGUUCUUUUGUUUCCUGAAAAAAGGCUCUCUGUGUGUGACCACAGUGUGGCUCUGGAUUACGGUGUGUAUCUUCCACUGCACUUCAUAUAUAGGAGUGAGCCUAAAUAUGAAUUUGGUACGUUGUGAGUGAUCAGCAUUGCUCUGCUCUUCUCCAUAACAGACAUUUCAUUGGUCAUUACAGCUAAAGGCACCUCCCAGUGACACUCAACUCCCUUGAAAGCUCUCUUUUCAUUCCCCAGUCCACUGUCUACAGCUAGAGACUGGGAAACCCAGCAUGGCUAACAGCACUAGAGGCAGGCAGGGGGAAGGCAGAGUUUGCCUUGAGGGCAGUCCUGAUGUUUUGUAAGGAAACUGUGGGGCUGAACUGAACCUUUGCUGAAAUACAGCAUAUUUUGCCACUGAUCUGCAUCCUCGGGUCUGAUCUGGAAUAAUCUCAGGCUUCCUUUGUGUGCCAGCAAUUGGAUUAUUCUGCUUCUGCUCACAGAGCCCUGCAUGGGGCUGAGCCCCGGGGCGCUGCCACGAGCCCUCCCAGAGCUGACUGCAAACUCUGCAGCACAUUUCUGAUAGAAAGAAAUGCAAAUGUGGCAGAACUUCCCACUGCCCUGCUCAGAAGCCAUGGCAGGCUCUGAUUUCUGUAAGACACAGGUGCUAAUUACUGGAAACGCUUCCCUGAGAAGUACCAGUCCCCUAAGGGGAAGUGUUGGGGGAGGCAUUAUUUUCCAUCUAAUCUAUUAAAUUUAGAAGCUAGGAUGGCUGCCACCUGGGAGACCCCUGUGAUUAUUGACUUAUGCAAGCACACUAAUUUCCAGCACUACCUUGUCUUCUCUCUCCUCCCCCUGCAUUAUCUCCAUUUAUGCCAGCUGCAUAUUACCAAAAUUGUAGACUUUUUAGGUACUGUGCAAACACCCAGGAGACCUGGCAGGCUUCAGCUGUGACAAACUGCACUGAGAGGGACAAAGCCAGGAUGUACAAACAGGCAGCCAGGUAGGAAAGAACAGGACCAAACGUGAGAAUAAUGACAGGCCUCAAGUCUUGGUCUCACAUCUCCAGGCUUCUGUAGUUCUAUAAAACCAGAGUGAAAAAAAUCAAGUUAAAAUCUUUGGGACUUUCUAGUUCUUCCCAAACGUUUACUCCCCCAGCCACCACGAUGCUGGUAACCUGCUUUCUAUAUGGGCUCUACCAUCUUUCAUAUGUGCUCUACCAUCUUCCAUAUGGGCUCUGCCAUCUCCUAUAUGUGCUUUGCCAUCUUCUCUAUGGGCUCUACCAUCUUCUAUACAAGCUCGACCAUUUUCUAUGUGUACUUUGCCAUCUUCUAUAUGGGCUCUACCAUCUUUCAUAUGUGCUCUACCAUCUUCCAUAUGGGCUCUGCCAUUUUCCACACGUGCUUUGUCAUCUUCUAUGCGGGCUCUACCAUCUUCUCUCUGUGCUCUUCCAUCUUCUCUAUGGACCCUGCCAUCUCCUAUAUGUGCUUUGCCAUCUUCUAUGAGCUCUGCCAUCUUCUAUAUGUGCUCUACCAUCUUCUAUAUGGGCUCUACCAUCUUUCAUAUGUGCUCUACCAUCUUCCAUAUGGGCUCUGCCAUUUUCUAUACGUGUGCUUUGUCAUCUUCUGUAUGGCCUCUACCAUCUUCUCUGUGUGCUCUUCCAUCUUCUCUAUGGGCUCUGCCAUUUUCCAUACGUGCUUUGUCAUCUUCUAUAUGGGCUCUACCAUCUUCUAUACAAGCUCUGCCAUUUUCUAUGUGUACUUUGCCAUCUUCUAUAUGUGUUCUACCAUCUUCUAUAUGUGCUUUGCCAUCUUCCAUGUGCGUAUUGUUGCGUACACCUACUCAUAUGCCUACAGAGAGCUUUCUACCCAAGGUGGCCUUGUUCUGUAGCAAUAAGUGCACAUGCUCCAUGGCUCCACAUAACCCAAAUAGUCCUCUAAUGGCUGAGUAAUACGCUUCCACUCCGUAUAUCACCGUGCCAUUGAUUUCAAUGGGCUUUGGAUUGGACAGUAAGUCUUUACGAUGUGUUUUACUUCUCACUUCCUAGCUCCUUGCCUUUUUCUUUUUUUUUUCCCUUGGUUUAAUGGGGGCCUUUCCACGUUACUUUAACAAAGUUUUAUGUGUUUUAAUUUUCUUUUAUUACUUUGUAGCCGAUUUCCAACUGCUUCACGAGACAAGUCAAUGAGACAGAGCUCCUAAUAAACCUGCAUUCAUCAAUGCCUUGUUUUACUCUCUUUCAUCUCUAACUACCAUCCAAUCACUUGGACAACUGGUGCUUCUGAGCUUGCAAUUAGACCCAUGCUUUCUACUGCUGAUGAAGGAAGAUUAAUUAAAUCAGUGCUUUUCAAGGCUAGAACGAAUGAGGGAACAUUUUUGGCAUUUUUCUCCUUGCUUUAAACCUGUAGCCUAUUAAUUUAAGACACCUGGCACAGAACUAACAUUUUGCCCUGAUAGAAAACAAUAAACUGAGAUUUAUACACUGGAGUCUUACGGAAAGGUUUCUUUUUCCUUCCCAAAAUGCAAAUUACGGAAUAAAACGACAUGAGAUCAGAGGAAAAGUUUACAGCCUCCCUUCCAGAGAAUAAGGACUUCUACAACGAACCUUUCAUUUUUUAACGACACCUGAGAGAGCGAGGGGAUGGCAGUGAUAUACUGAUAGCAGUAUUUAUCUCAGGAAGCGUUCACACUGCUCUAUCCAUUGUGCCAGGGCUGUGUGCGCCCACAUGCACAUCUAAGACCUUUUCUCAGCAGAUACAGUCCAAAAUAAACAAGACAGAUAGGAUAAGAGAAAGAACUCAGUGGGACUGCUGUUCUGCAGAACAAGCGCUGAGUUGUAGCAAGGUUCAGAGAAUGGGAUUACAUCAAACCUGGCUGAAGAGGUCACAGGAGAACGAGUGCUGGUGUAGGAAUCUGGGUAGGAAUCGUUGUCUUGAGUAAAAAAUCUGCGUAGGACUCGUUGUGUUGGGUGGAAUUCACCCAGGAGUGGUUCAGUAGAUUGCCCUGUGCACUGCUGAGUGAUUCACUGACGUUUCAAAUGCCUUCAUCCCACCCUUUGGUUCGAUCUGAUCACCGUGGCCGAGUGGUUACAGGGUGGGAGUAGUUGUAUUUUUUAUGACCUUGCCUGUGGAAAUGCAUUCCUACAUCCUCUCUUUACGUAGCAGUGACUGGGCAGCAGUAUGGAGCUGUGGGUAAGGGAUUGUGAUGUCCAUAUGUCUGUGGGUCCUGAUGAGAUGCAUCCCGGUGUCCUGAGGGAAUGGCCAGCGUAGUUGCCAAGCCAUUCUCAGUGGUAUGUAAGAAGUCAUUGAGCCACUGAAGUCAUUUAUCUGAGCUUCAGCACAGCCUUUGUCACUGUCCCCCAUAACAUCCUUCCCUCCAAAUUAGAAAGAUUUGGAUCUGGACUGUUCAGUGUGUGAGGAGGUGGUUAUAGGAGCAUACCCAGAGAACGGUGGUCAAUGGGGGCUGUAAGCAAGAAGGGGACAGACUCUUUAGCAGGGUCUGCUGUGAUAGGAGAAGGGGAAAUGGUUUCAAACUAAAGGAGGGAAGAUUAAGAUUGGAUGUAAGGAGGAAGUUUUUUGCAAUAAGGGUGGUGAAGCAGUGGAACAGUUUGCAAAGAGAGGUGGUGGAUGGCCCAUCCUUGGAGACAUUCAAGGUCAGGCUCUGAGGACAGGGCUCUGAGCACCUGAUGGAGCUGCAGGUAUCCCUGUUCAGUGCAGGGAGUUGGACCAGAUGGCCAUUAAGGGUCCCUUCCAACUCAAGCAAUUCCAUGACUGCAGAUACCUUUCAUUAGUUUAAGUAUCUUAUGAACCACACAAGAAACUCCAUAUACUGCAGAACACUUGCAAGAUAUUCACCCUUUAUUUCUCGAAAGCAGUCAUUCAUGCUCUUUCAGCACUGGCCAACUCUUUUUUAUCCAUCUUCCAGGUAGCAUGGGCGCAGUCUGCACAGUUCUGUGUGCUUCUAUCUGUUCCCUCACUGGUUUGCCAUUGUUGGUACCAGCCAGGAUUAUGUUUCAGGACAACAGCUUUGGAUACUGGCUGUGCUGUGUGGUCUUAAAACAUGCAAUAGGUUGGCACCUACUGUCCACCCAAAACCUGUGGCGUUGGGGUGGCUGGCUCCAAAUUCAGCUUGCUGGUGGCAGGACUGGGCAGCCUUUGCACGGCAGAAGCUGUUGGCAUUAACUUCCUCUCCAUUUGGAGCAGAUGAGAUGACAAACUCAUUUGUCAGUGUUGGUUGUUGCAUUUUCAGGGAUGCAGAUGGCACACGAACCCCUGCAAUUUCCAAUGGUUAGUUGAAAUCUUCCUUUCUUGUCCACCCAGUGGGAACAGUUUGCAUGAGACUUAAGGCUCCUUUCUUUACGAAAAACCCACACGAAGAAAAAAGCACGAGCCAGGAGCUGUGCUGUGUGCAUCGGUUCCAAGACAGCAUGCUAUUUUAUUGCCAUCAGCAAAUUCCAAAGUCCUCAUUCCAGCUCCCUGCCACAAACAGCAAGAUCCCCCAGCACCGAACCUGAGGCAGAGCCCAAAGAUACCUGUGUUUUGAGCUGUGAUUUUAUUGCUUUGUACCCAUGUUUGAAGGCAUGGGGCACGCUGGUAAAACCCUAUGUGUACCCAUCCUUUCUCUGGGAUGCUUUGAGGUGUUCUGGUCUCUCCCAGCGAUCUCUGAUUAGCUUGAAGGAGAAGAAUCCCCCAGAUCUCAGUUAAUUGAAACACACUUCAAAUAACUGCAUUAAAACUGAGUCAUUUAUAAGCAAGACAGGAAGGAAAAGUGUUUGGCAGGAGAAGUGUCGAGAGUCGCUGGUACGUACCUGGUCUCCUCCAGAUGUACAACAUGUAUGGGCACGCAUCAGGAACCCUCUGGUGCCAUGAAAAUUGGCGCAGCAGCAGCAGGUUGGGUAAACACAACCAAUACAGUGUAGUCCAUUUUUCAGUUCGGUGGUGAUCUUGGAAAAUUCGGUGGUAUGUCAAAAGUCUCUGCUGAUUGAUACCAGCCCGUUGGAUUCAGACGUUGCCCCUGUGAGUCUUCUCUUGUGAUGUCCUCCUGAAGGAGCCUGGUGUGAUCCCAAGCCCUUGGGUGGGAACAGACCCUGGUCAUUGCACCCAACUGGAUGGAGCCACCCCAUUUCAAGCGGGCCCUUUGCAACUGCUUCUGCUCCCUGGGGUGAAAGCAAAUCCAAGAGAUUCACACUGAAAUCAAUAGAUUUGGAACACGACAAACCAAAUGAGACACGCGUGGACAUUGCAACGUUGGUGAACAAGGUUCCACGCUGAUGUGGAAUCGCAUCUUAUCUCAGGUUGUCCCAGCACAUGCUGGGAGUGCUGCCAGCAAUCCAUCAAAGCACUGAUGUGAUGCAGGAUUUAACUCAGCUUCCUUCAUUCCACCUCCUCUGUGGCCCAUGGGGAAGUCAAGGCUCCAGAACUGCCAGUCCAGCGUGAAAUCCCCAUUAAAACACACACACACUUCACAGAUCCCAGAGCCAUGGGGUGUUAGCCCUGUAAUUGGGCAGGUUAGGCUCACCUUAGGGUUUAAUGGCAAUUUAAAUCUCUCUCUUGCUCUGAUGCAGAAAUAUUAAGGCUUUGAUCAAGGCCUUUCAGUCUUUCAGUUACAGAGACAGUUUUCUCAUAAUGAACCAGGGGACCCGAGUGUUUAAGAUAUCAAAACUAGGCAAAAUUUCUAUACUUUUUUUUUUAUUUUUUUUAUUUUUUAUUUCAUUUUAAAGCCUCAGAUCUGUGGUUCCAAGCUGCCCUUUUCCUAUUUCUUCCCAGUUCUUGUUGUGAGUUAGGGAUGCUUUAUUUGUCAGGCUAAUCGUAAUGAAUGCAUUGAUUAAAAAUAAGAAAUCAUGCACCUAGAGCAAAGAAGAAACCCAGACCCGCUCCUAGAGGAGUCUGUUCCCUAGGAGGCUUCCCUCUGUUACAGAAAUAUUUAUUAGCAAUCAGAAGAACGUUUCUUUCUAGCAAAAGAACAAACAAGCAUUUUCUCUGCAGCCUAAUGGGCAGAGACAUAUGUUUUUAAUAAGCAUACGGGAGAAUGGGUUUUUCUGCACUCAGGAAUUAGCAUUCAGGAGCCCCACAAUGUUUACAAAUCUCUGUGUUUUUUCUUUCUUUUUAUUUAAUUAAGGCAAUUUUCAGUCUGUGUCCUCCGAAGUCCUGGUGGUUUCACUGAGUGUCUCCACGAUCGUUCAGGCUGUGCUCGGAUGUUUGCAGCAUCUGAGUUUUAAUUAGGAUGGGGUUCCCCUGCUCAGCUGAAUUUCAUUAUUUCACACCAGUGGAAUCUGCUGUGCUGUCCUGAGCUCUGCUGUCUUCACUCGACGUCCCAUUACAUCCCUGAGCUCCCGCUGCCUCCCAUGGUGCAGGCACUUCUUCACCAGUGGUUCUAAGAGUCUGAUCCUAUGUCAUAGCAUCACAGAACCACGAAGGUUGCAAAAGACCUCUAAGAUCCCUAAGCCCGACCCCAGCCCACCCUUACCAUGCCCACUGACCACUUCCCUCAGUGCCACAUUUCUCAAACGCCUCCAGAAAUGGUGACUCCACCACUCCCUGGUCAGCCUGUUCCAGUGCCCAACCACUCUGAUGGAGCUUUUCCUAACGUCCAACCUGAUGCUCCCCUGCCACAACUUAAAGCCAUCACCUCUCCUCCCAUCGCUGUCACCUGGGUGACCCCCACCUUGCCGCAACCUCCUUUUAGGGACCUGUAGUGGUUCUGCAAAGAGCUCUAUACUACUUUGAAAGCAGGAUGAGCAUCGUAGGGUACAUAAGGAUAAUAUUCGCUCUGCAAAUGCAAACUAGAAGGCUGGCUCUUGCCAUAAAGCCUGAAGCCCACCUCCUCGCAGACCCCUUCUUGCUGCAUCUCGUACCCUCCGAUGAACCAAGGUCCUAUAAGACCACCAACUUGAGAAAAUACCGGGAUCCAUGGAUGCCUGCAGUGCCUUUCCAUCCCCAUUCCUUUUUAUUCUGAGCACAGCAUCAUUAUUAGCAAUGAAGUUUUUAUAUGUUACAGUCAGCCCAGCCGGGUCAUGAUAUGCCAUAAAUCUUUGACAAGUCAAGCGCUGCCUCUUUCUGGGUACAGUAUAUGCUUGGCCCCAUUAAGAAUAAUAGCAUGAAUAACCAUAAGCCAUUAAUUUUGACGAGAUCAGACCCAUAUCACCUUAAAAAGAGUGCGCUGAUACCAUGGGAGACAUUUGGCGGUUUCCGCCGCUCACUCCCUUAAUGAAUAAAAAUACAGCAGUGGCUGCAGAGUGCCUGACAGGCAGCACCCAGAGCCCAGGGACAUCUCAUCCCACCAGCACCGCAGGGGAAGGCGUGGGGAAAUUACAGCCUGUGCUUGGAGAAAAUGCAGCCGUGCAAAGGGGUGCUGCUGUGUGCAUCCGCACGGCCAGCCCAGGUGUGCAAGGGGGACUUCUGCAGGGGGAGUGCUUGGUUUGCUGAAAAUGCAGUUGUCAGAAGCAAAAUCAGUGCUUCCUCUGUUAGAUGGGCCAGAGAGGAAUCCAGCAGGAUUUGGGUAAACUCCAGGGAGGCAGCCAGGAUCCCGCUGUCUGACACUGAGAUCCUGGGGGUCUUGAGCUUCCCUGAGCGAUGAGAUUCCUUCUGUUG